rnacentral:rRNA from 1 species
GAUGAACGCUGGCGGCGUGCCUAAUACAUGCAAGUCGAGCGAACAGACGAGGAGCUUGCUCCUCUGACGUUAGCGGCGGACGGGUGAGUAACACGUGUAUAACCUACCUAUAGGACUGGGAUAACUUCGGGAAACCGGAGCUAAUACCGUAUAAUAUAUUGAACCGCAUGGUUCAAUAGUGAAAGACGGUUUUGCUGUCACUUAUAGAUGGAUCUGCGCCGCAUUAGCUAGUUGGUAAGCUAACGGCUUACCAAGGCAACGAUGCGUAGCCGACCUGAGAGGGUGAUCGGCGACACUGGAACUGAGACACGGUCAAGACUCCUAAGGGAGGCAGCAGUAGGGAAUCUUCCGCAAUGGGCGAAAGCUUGACGGAGCAACGCCGCGUGAGUGAUGAAGGUCUUCGGAUCGUAAAACUCUGUUAUUAGGGAAGAACAAAUGUGUAAGUAACUAUGCACGUCUUGACGGUACCUAAUCAGAAAGCAACGGCUAACUACGUG